UACAUGGGGUGCAAACGUUGCUCGGAAUUAUUGGGCGUAAAGCGCGCGUAGGCGGUUACUCAAGUCGGAUGUGAAAGCCCUCGGCUUAACUGAGGAAGUGCACCCGAAACUGAGUAGCUAGAGUACUAAAGAGGGUCGCGGAAUUCCCGGUGUAGAGGUGAAAUGCGCAGAUAUCAGGAGGAACACCGAUGGCGAAGGCAGGUCUCUGGGCCGAUACUGACGCUGAGGAGCGAAAGCGUGGGGAGCGAACAGG
rnacentral:rRNA from 1 species